AUGGUCAAUAAGCAAAUAAUUCGAGACAGCUCUAGUCCUUAUUCUUCUCCCGCUAUUCUCAUUAAAAAGAAGGAUCUGUCUUGGAGGCUGUGCAAUGAUUUCAGAAAAGUAAAUUCCCAAACAAUCAAGAACAAAUACCCUAUUCCAUUUAUUGAGGAUUUGCUGGAUGAGCUUCAUGGAGCUACUGUGUUUACCAAAUUGGAUUUGAAGAGUGGCUAUCACCAAAUAAGAAUGAAAGAGGAAGACAUUGAAAAGACUGCUUUCACUACUCAUUGUGGACAUUAUGAAUAUUUGGUUAUGCCUUUUGGCCUAACCAAUGCCCCUGCCACUUUUCAGAUGUUAAUGAACAAAAUCCUCAAGAAACAUCUCAGAAAAUUUGUGUUGGUUUUCUUUGAUGACAUAUUGAUUUUCAGUGAAACAUUGGAGGACCAUUUGGCACACUUGGAUGAGGUUUUUAAAACCCUACAGGAAAAUCAACUGGUGGUCAACUUAAGCAAAUGUAUUUUUGCUCAACCUCAGGUGGAGUACUUGGGCCACAUCAUUAGGGGAGAUGGGGUUGCCACAGACCCUAUAAAGAUCGAAGCAAUUACUCAAUGGCCUGCCCCUGAAAAUGUUUCACAAUUGAGAAGUUUCUUGGGCCUCACAGGGUAUUACAGAAGAUUUGUGCAAAAUUAUGGAUAUAUCUGCAAACCUCUUUUCAAUGCUCUUAAGAAGGACAGUUUCCAGUGGUCAAAUGAGCAGCAAGAAGCAUUCAACACACUGAAACACAAAAUGAUCCAAGCUCCUGUCCUUGCUCUACCUGACUUCACAAAACCAUUUGUGCUCGAAGCUGAUGUGUGUGCUUAUGGAAUUGGUGCUGUCCUCAUGCAGGGUGGACGGCCCAUUGCUUACUUCAGCAAAGCAAUUGGACCUCGGGCUACUGCUUGGUCCACUUAUGACAAGGAAGCUUUGGCUAUUAUAGAAGCACUCAAACAGUGGAAACAUUACUUCUCAGCUUCUUCUCUGAUAAUAAGAACUGACCAACAAAGUUUAAGGUACAUCCAAGACUAG
rnacentral:rRNA from 1 species